rnacentral:rRNA from 1 species
AUUGAACGCUGGCGGCAUGCCUUACACAUGCAAGUCGAACGGUAACAGGUCUUCGGAUGCUGACGAGUGGCGAACGGGUGAGUAAUACAUCGGAACGUGCCUAGUAGUGGGGGAUAACUACUCGAAAGAGUGGCUAAUACCGCAUGAGAUCUACGGAUGAAAGCAGGGGAUCGCAAGACCUUGUGCUACUAGAGCGGCCGAUGGCAGAUUCGGUAGGUGGUGGGAUAAAAGCUUACCAAGCCGACGAUCUGUAGCUGGUCUGAGAGGACGAUCAGCCCCUCUGGGACGGAGAAGCGGCCCGAGCUGACUCGGGAGGCAGCAGUGGGGAAUUUUGGACAAUGGGCGCAAGACUGUUACAGCAAUGCCGCGUGCCGGAUGAAGGCCUUCGGGUUGUAAACUGCUAUUGUACGGAACGAAAAGCACUGGGUUAAUACCCUGAGGUCAUGACGGUACCGUAAGAAUAAGCACCGGCUAACUACGUGCCAGCCGCCGCGGUAAUAC